CUCCUUGGAUGACAAUUGCAUUUUAUAUUGCUAAGUGAGCAAAAGCAUAACCAAGAUUAAGCGCUAAUGAUGGAUUAGCUGUCACAUGUUUGCACAUGGUUAUUUCCCAUCAAAGUUUAUGCUGUUGGAUGAUGGUCUUGCCGUUGUUCACUUCUAUGAGUUGAGAUAGUAUGUGCAUUCCGAAGUGUUUGACAGUAUAUAAGGAACCCAAAGACCAAAUUUUUUUUGCUUACAUUUAUGAUCAAAUCCAGAUGAACACCUUAUUGUCAUAUCUAAAAACAGAAUGACAAUGUCAAGGAGAAAGUUUCUUGGAUCAAUGUUAAUAUGAUAUCUUUGGUCAAAAUGAGUCAGUUUGAGUCAAUAACCCGUCUUUCUAUGACAUCUGAUUUCUUUCAGGGCUUUGUUAUGAUACCAAUGAACCUGUUCUCAAACAUGCUUUUGAGCAACAUGGUGAGAUAAUUGAAGUAAAAGUAAUAUGCGAUCAUAAAAGUGGAAAAUCCAAAGGAUAUGGGUUCGUGAAGUUCACUUCUGAAACUGCAGCUAGCAAGGCUUUGAAGGAAAUGGACGGUCAGUUAUUGGAUGGCAGAAAUAUUCGUAUCAGUUAUGCCCACAAAGAAUGACAUUGAGGGUUCCAAAUCUCAUCUUUCCUCGUGUGUGCAAGAACUAGCGAUUUCAGCCGUGAAAGUUGGUACUGAAGAUACUUGUUGAGGAUUCUUCAAGGUUAAUCUUGAUUCUUGAGUUUGGUCAAGGGAGAAACAGCCACCGAAAAGGUCCUUUGCCAUGAUUUUGCAUCGCGUGUCAGGUUCAAAUCAAACUUUAAUUGAUCCAUUUUCUUUUUCCCUUGUACUACGCAUAUUCAUGUUUUGUGUAGGACACAGGAUUGUUAAGGAAUUAAUUUUACAGCUGUUACAAGGGAACUAUGAUUGUGUUAGCUUGUAAUUUUUUAGGGAGAAAAGCUCUUCUAUCAAUAAUAUAUAGAGCCAUUCAACUUGCUCAAAACUCUGAACGGAAUCAAAAGAAUUAUUUCAUUUGCAUCACUUUGAUUGGAUUUGGAGAAGUCCAGAUCAUAUUAAAGUUAAAUGCUGCCUUCUGUAUUUGCACAUUGUUUUAAAAAGACCAAUUCUUUGACA